AACUUUGACAGUAAUCAAUAAUUUUUAAUGAAUGUUUAAACAUGGGUAGGCUAGAUCUGGAAUCUUUGGGGAGGCUACACUUAAUAUGACAACAUUAAUCUCUUUCUACAGUAUCAUUACCUACCAAAAUUUAAUAAGGCGUGUUGCUUCUAGGAAUUCUCAGUGGCAAGAGAAACAAUUUUUUCAAUGAAUCACACGGUGGUGGAGACCUCUUGAGUUAUAAUAUCUUUUAAGGUCAUCAUUCAAUUUACCACAACACAAUUGCCAAUUCUUGAACUCAUGGACUGUGGCAUGACCAUAUGUGAUCCCAAUUCUCCAGAGCCUACCUCAGAAGAAAGUAGUGAUUGUGAAGUACAAAAAACAUGGUAAUGCCACAGUCUCACAUAUUUACUAGAAUCUGAUCAUCAAACAUAGUAGUUUGAAAAAAAUAAGCUUGUGGGGUUGUUGCUUGAAUGUGAGUUUCUUAAAUUUACUAGAAAGUUAUUUGUACUUGUAGAGAUAUUUUUGGAUCUUAUGUUUUGUUAUUGUAAGUUGAUUAACAUUAACUUAUUCUUCGAACAUUUUUACUAUAAAACAUGGCAGAGACUGUUGCUGCUAUGUUGUUUCGUUACUCAUGAUUAUUUUUUCAGGAGGUUAUGUAUCCCAACAAACAAUAGUAAAAAGGGAAAAUCUUAUUUAUAUAUAUAUAUAUAUAUUAAAAGAAAAAAAAAAGAAAAAUAUCAUUGGUUGGUGUCUAGCUUGUAGAAUAUCACUUAGCCCAAAGUCAUAUUUAGACUUUGGUGGAAAAUCUUCGAUCAUAUCUCAUCAUUCUAAAUACAAUAAAGAUAUGUAUUACUAUUGUUAUUGUAUUACUUUGCUACACUCUAAUCUUUCUUCAAUUUGUCAAUUAUUUUACUUAAAAUGCAUUAUACUGAUUUUGUUAUGCUUAUUUAUUUAUUCAAUGUUUCAUUAGCGAUUUAUCCUUAUAUGCAUUUCAUUUUUAUUUAUUUGUUAUCUAUUUCUAGGAAACGUUGUUCAAGCAAGAGACAUUUAAGAGUUUUUACUUCAAAUAUUUAUCCAUACUGCCCACCCUUUAUGAGUCUUCUUAAGGGGAUGGGAUGUAUUGAUCUUUUUAAUUUGAAGAAACUAUAAGGGAGAUCUUGAUACGCUUCUAUUUCCUUAGAAUGACAGUAUCAUGACCUUCAGGGUUGGUGGAGCAGUAAAAUUUUUAUCUUCAUAAACUUAGUUUCAUUAUUUUAGGUUUAUAUGCCUUUUCAAUAAUCACAACUUUCACACUUCCCACAAGACUGAUAAUUUAUGAUUAACUAUAUAUUUCAUUAGGUCCUCUUGAGACAUAUAUAUCUGAUAGUGAUACUUAAUUGUAAUGCUUGAUCAUUUAGAAUAACUCUUGUUGUGGGAUAAUUUUGCUAAUAUAAUUAUAUUUUUUAA